rnacentral:rRNA from 1 species
UACGUAGGGGGCAAGCGUUGUCCGGAAUUAUUGGGCGUAAAGAGCGCGUAGGCGGUCCGAUAAGUCGGCUGUGAAAGUCAGGGGCUCAACCCUUGAAAGCCGGCCGGAUACUGUCGGACUAGAGUCCGGAAGAGGCGAGUGGAAUUCCCGGUGUAGCGGUGAAAUGCGCAGAUAUCGGGAGGAACACCAGUGGCGAGGCGGCUCUCUGGGCCUUACCUGACGCUGAGGAGCGAAAGCGUGGGUAGCGAACGAGGAUU